UUUCCGUAGGUGAACCUGCGGAAGGAUCAUUAUUGAAAAGCCUUGGAGUUACUGUUGCUGGCCUUUUAACAAGGGCAUGUGCACGUAUCUCUAAUCCUAUUCAUCCACCUGUGCACUUUUUGUAGAAGUUCUUGAGGAUUGGCUUAUAGGUUUCUGACCUUGUAGUCGAUUUGAAAGGCUUCUAUGUUUUUACAAACCAUUAAGCAUGUUUAGAAUGUUCUUUUAUUGGGGCUUUAUUGACCCUUUAAAAUCUAUACAACUUUCAGCAACGGAUCUCUUGGCUCUCCCAUCGAUGAAGAACGCAGC
rnacentral:misc_RNA from 1 species